CUGGUAUUUGAAGAUGCUACAGUGCUGCAAAUGUAAGCAGUGGUUUCAUGAGGCUUGUGUGCAAUGCCUUCAAAAGCCAAUGCUAUUUGGAGACAGAUUUUAUACGUUUAUAUGCUCUGUCUGCAGUUCUGGACCAGAAUACCUCAAACGUCUACCAUUACAGUGGUAAGUGUGGACCUUUCUGUUAAAAAAAAGAAAAGCCAUUUUCUUAAACCUACAAGUUGAAACUUUCUAUAUACAUUUACUUGGCUUAAGUAAAAAUAGGUUAUUUAUGCUUGGCUUUAUUUCUUUUAUUUAUCCUCAUGCCUGAUAUCAUCUUCACUAAGUAACAUCCACUUGUAUUGCUAAAUUAAUAAGGCUGUUCAGUGUUGAAUGUUAUAAAUGAAACUUUCAGAUAUCCUUUAGACCUAAAUUCUUACUCAUAUUUCUAGUUCUUUUGAACCUUCAGAAUAGCAUACAGUAGAAGAGAGAUAGGUAUAACAAAUAUGCUAAUUUCUGCUUCAAUGUAGUAAUUCUUGUGUGUUGGAAGUGUGAUGAAUUUUAGAGGUUUACUAAUAAAAUGCUUACAGUAAGUACUUACAAAUCUUUGUUGUAUUUUACAUAUUUUAUCAACAGAUAGGAUUUAACCCAUGAAUCAAAUAGUUUGGUUAAGUAUGGUAUAUUCUGUAGCUUAUAUCCGGAAGUGAAAACACAAAAAUCUUGAUUUUAAGUUAUAUUUUUUUAAAGCCAGACCCUCUUUGAAUGCACUUGAAGAAGUAAUUCGUGGCCAGGCGCGGUGGCUUUCGCCUGUAAUCCCAGCACUUUGGGAGGCCGAGGUGGGUGGAUCUCCUGAGGUCUGGAGUUUAAGACCAGCCUGGCCAACACGGUGAAACCACGUUUCUACUAAAAAUACAGAACAAAUUAGCCUAGCGUGGUGGUGGGCGCCUGUAAUCCCAGCUACUCGGGAGGCUGAGGCAGGAGAAUCGCUUGAACCCACGGGGCGGAAGUUGCAGUGAGCUGACGUUGUGCCAUUGUACUCCAGCCUG
rnacentral:sRNA from 1 species